UAGGGUUCGAUUCCGGAGAGGGAGCCUGAGAAACGGCUACCACAUCUAAGGAAGGCAGCAGGCGCGCAAAUUACCCAAUCCUAAUACAGGGAGGUAGUGACAAGAAAUAACAAUACAGGACUUUACGGUUUUGUAAUUGGAAUGAGUUAAGURUAAACCCCUUUACAAGUAUCAAUUGGAGGGCAAGUCUGGUGCCAGCAGCCGCGGUAAUUCCAGCUCCAAUAGCGUAUAUUAAAGUUGUUGCAGUUAAAAAGCUCGUAGUUGGAUUYCUGUUAAUACCUUAUAUAUAAUAUUUUUUUUUAAAUAUUAUUAUGUAAGAUUAACAUAAUUCAUAUUUUUUAAGACUGAAUUUUUAGUUUUGAUAAUAUGAAAUUUUACUUUGAGAAAAUUAGAGUGCUUAAAGCAGGCUUUUGCCUUGAAUACUCCAGCAUGGAAUAAUAAUAAAAGAUUUUUAUCUUUUUUUUAUUGGUUCUAAGAUAAAAAUAAUGAUUAAUAGGGACAGUUGGGGGCAUUUGUAUUUAACAGUCAGA
rnacentral:rRNA from 1 species